AGAGUUUGAUCCUGGCUCAGAUUGAACGCUGGCGGCAUGCCUAACACAUGCAAGUCGAACGGAAACGAUGCUAGCUUGCUAGCAGGCGUCGAGUGGCGGACGGGUGAGUAAUGCAUAGGAAUCUACCUAGUAGCGGGGGACAACCUGGUGAAAACCAGGCUAAUACCGCAUAAUCCCUACGGGGCAAAGCAGGGGACCUUCGGGCCUUGCACUAUUAGAUGAGCCUAUGUCGGAUUAGCUAGUUGGUGAGGUAAUGGCUCACCAAGGCAACGAUCCGUAGCUGGUUUGAGAGGAUGAUCAGCCACACUGGGACUGAGACACGGCCCAGACUCCUACGGGAGGCAGCAGUGGGGAAUAUUGCACAAUGGGGGCAACCCUGACGCAGCCAUGCCGCGUGUGUGAAGAAGGCCUUAGGGUUGUAAAGCACUUUCAAUUGGGAAGAAAGGUUGUAGGUUAAUAGCCUGCAGCUGUGACAUUACCUUUAGAAGAAGCACCGCUAACU
rnacentral:rRNA from 1 species